GAAACAGCAGCAUCCACACGGGCAGAAACUGUCACCACUCUCUUUGCAUCCAUUCCCGUUUCCAGAGAGGAGAGGAACCGAAAUGUUUGUUCUGAAGACAGAGGAGCUUUAACCGAGCUGAAACCUUUACUUGCCCCUGAGAGUCAGCUGUCAAUCACAUCCUUUGGGGGAAAUCAGCUGGAUCCCAGAACACACAGCGCGCUCAUCAGAUCUGUUCGUAUGCAGGAAGAAAACACCUACGGAUAGCCAGCGUCGCUGUUGGUUGCAAUUAAAGUGCUGCAUCGCUGCGGUGAGACGAACCUGAGGCCACCUGAAGGUCAGCGAGGAACCCAAUUACCAGCUUGUCAUGUCCUGAUGGGAGAAAGGCACAAGAGCACCGAGUCCCUUCCCAGAGGCACAAAAGAUGAAUGUUUGUGGUAUUGCAAUAAAAAAAAACUUUAAUUAGGUAAA